rnacentral:rRNA from 1 species
AUUGAACGCUGGCGGCAUGCCUUACACAUGCAAGUCGAACGGCAGCACGGGAGCAAUCCUGGUGGCGAGUGGCGAACGGGUGAGUAAUAUAUCGGAACGUGCCCAGUCGUGGGGGAUAACGCAGCGAAAGCUGUGCUAAUACCGCAUACGAUCUAUGGAUGAAAGCGGGGGACUCGCAAGGGCUCCGCGCGAUUGGAGCGGCUGAUAUCAGAUUAGGUAGUUGGUGGGGUAAAGGCCUACCAAGCCUGCGAUCUGUAGCUGGUCUGAGAGGACGACCAGCCACACUGGAACUGAGACACGGUCCAGACUCCUACGGGAGGCAGCAGUGGGGAAUUUUGGACAAUGGGCGCAAGCCUGAUCCAGCAAUGCCGCGUGCAGGAUGAAGGCCUUCGGGUUAUAAACUGCUUUUGUACGGAACGAAAAGGCUCUGGUGAAUACCUGGAGUUGAUGACGGUACCGUAAGAAUAAGCACCGGCUAACUACGUGCCAGCCGCCGCCGUAA